UCGAGGAGAAUUCAUAUGACUCGCGCGACGCAGAUUCUCCCGGGAAGAUCUCGAUCAUUGGAAUUGCGGACAACGAGGGCAAUGGAACUGGAUCGGCGCUCAUCUUCUUGGGCUCAGGGUUUUCGAAUUCGGUCUCUCUUUUGAUGUGCCUCGCCAGCCUCAUGAUCCCCCCUCCUUUGCUUCUCUCAGGCACUGACGGUUCUCCCCAAGCUCAACCUGAACUACCGGUGAUUUCGUCAGAUUUCUCGAUCAUGCAAUGCAUCGUUGCUCAUUGAUAUUGCCGAAGCAAUGGCGAGAACAAUUACAUAUUGAUCGAUGUAGGGAAGACGUUUAGGGAGCAAGCUCUAAGAUAGUUUACACGCCGUAAGGUUGAAUGGAUUCUGUGCUGUGCAGCCUUUUAGUCCCACAAAUGAAAUCAACCGGACGCCUGUUUGCUUAGAUCAAAAUACGAUGAAAAGGUACUUGUGUGGCUACCUUUCUUUAGAUUACUUAUCGUACCAUCUUACUCGCAAUAAAUUGGCCAUGGAGUUCUUAGCCUUCGUUUUAAAUGUUGAGCAAGCUACUUGUUCAGAGAAUAUUAGAUAGACGAUACGUCUGAUGAUGGAAGAGUUCCUAUUUGGCACUAGAUGUAGAUGCUUCCGACAUCUAUUUUUUCUCUAAGAAAUCAUUUUUCAGAUCGUGUCGUUUUUCUUUUUGGACCUCCCAAUAAUUAAAUGCAUAACAACCAGUGGAGCCAACGUGGUUUUUUUUUUUUUUUUAUAUAUAGAACACUCUUUGUUUUCUCCUUGCUAUCCAAUAACCUCUUAAAGGGUUCCUUGUAACUCGUGUAGCUCUGUGCAAUUAAUCUUCUGGCUAAUAUUCGUUACCAUUCAUAACCAGGUUUGGAAUCAAAAUUUGAACCAAUUGUGGAUGCCAUGUGUCAUUUCACAUCUUCUAUAAUUUGAGUCAAUAGUCUCUACUUCAAAUGUUCAGUCACAUCAGUAAUCCUAAGAAUCGGUCCCUUCACUGUUACUCUCUUCAACUCUUCAAAUGCAGUUUGACACUCUGAAGUCCAACUCCAACUAUUAUUCUUUUUCAAUAGGUCCAUAGGUGGA